rnacentral:rRNA from 1 species
UACAGAGGUGGCAAGCGUUGUUCGGAAUUACUGGGCGUAAAGGGCGCGUAGGCGGUUCGUUAAGUCCUGUGUGAAAUCCCCCGGCUCAACUGGGGAACUGCACAGGAAACUAGCGGGCUUGAGUUCGGGAGAGGGAAGCGGAAUUCCGGGUGUAGCGGUGAAAUGCGCAGAUAUCAGGAAGAACACCCGUGGCGAAGGCGGUUCUCUGGGACGGUACUGACGCUGAGACGCGAAAGCGUGGGGAGCGAACAGG